rnacentral:rRNA from 1 species
UACGUAGGGGGCAAGCGUUAUCCGGAUUUACUGGGUGUAAAGGGAGCGUAGACGGCGAUGCAAGCCAGAUGUGAAAGCCCGGGGCUCAACUCCGGGACUGCUUUUGAAACUGUUGAACUAGAUUGCAGGAGAGGUAAGUGGAAUUCCUAGUGUAGCGGUGAAAUGCGUAGAUAUUAGGAGGAACACCAGUGGCGAAGGCGGCUUACUGGACAGUAACUGACGUUGAGGCUCGAAAGCGUGGGGAGCAAACAGG